CCGCCGGUUUUACGUUGUUGCAGUUAAAAGCUCGUAGUUGAUUUUAGGCCCGGUUGGACGGUCUGCCUUUGGGUUUGUACUGUCCUGACUGGGCCUUACCUUCUGGUGAGCUGUCGUGUUGUUUACUCAGCGCGGCAGGGAACCAGGACUUUUACUUUGAAAAAAUUAGAGUGUUUAAAGCAGGCAUUCGCUUGAAUACAUUAGCAUGGAAUAAUAGAAUAGGACUUUGGUUCUAUUUUGUUGGUUUCUAGGACCGAAGUAAUGAUUAAUAGGGAUAGUUGGGGGCAUUAGUAUUUAAUUGUCAGAGGUGAAAUUCUUGGAUUUAUGAAAGACUAACUUCUGCGAAAGCAUUUGCCAAGGAUGUUUUCAUUAAUCAAGAACGAAAGUUAGGGGAUCGAAGACGAUCAGAUACCGUCGUAGUCUUAACCAUAAACUAUGCCGACUAGGGAUCAGACAAGGAUAUUUUGACUUGUUUGGCACCUUAUGAGAAAUCAAAGUUUUUGGGUUCCGGGGGGGAGUAG
rnacentral:rRNA from 1 species